UAGUCCACGCCGUAAACGAUGGAUACUAGGUGUUCGGAGUAGUUAACCCUCUGAGUACCAAAGUUCACGCAUUAAGUAUCCCGCCUGGGGACUACGGUCGCAAGGCUAAAACUUAAAGGAAUUGACGGGGGCCCGCACAAGCGGUGGAGUAUGUGGUUUAAUUCGAAGCAACGCGCGGAACCUUACCUAGGCUUAACAUUCAACGCUACAUCCAGAGAUGGAUGGUUCUCUUCGGAGACGUUGGGAUAGGUGCUGCAUGGCUGUCGCCAGCUCGUGCCGUGAGGUGUCAGGUUAAGUCCUAUAACGAGCGUAACCCCUGCCGUUAGUUGCCAGCAUGUUAAGAUGGGGACUCUAACGGGACUGCCGGUGCAAACCGUGAGGAAGGUGGGGAUGACGUCAAAUCAUCACGGCCCUUACGUCCUGGGCCACACACGUGCUACAAUGGCCGGUACAGAGAGCAGCCAUGUUGCAAAACAGAGCGAAUCUAUAAAACCGGUCACAGUUCGGAUCGGAGU
rnacentral:rRNA from 1 species